UCGGACGCUNGCGCGCGCGCGCUCGCGCUCGCGGCAAGUGCUGCAAGCGGUAUCGGUGCUGGAAUCGCCCCGUAGCGAUGGAUUUCGCUGGCCUCCCCCUCCCCCCCGGUCCCUCCCCGAUAGUCAGGCGGGCGCGAUUCUCGAUAUGCCCCGUAGCGUUGGUUUUCACUCGCGUUGCCCCGAAAAUCACUCGACCCUCGCGGGAGCCCUCGCUCGCGCUCCUGGCAGCGUGGGUGUGGCUGCGUCUGGGUCGAUGCGAUCGGAUUGAUGCCCGAACCGUUCCGUAGCGAUGGAUUUCGCUCGCCGAGUCCUGAAAAUUACGCACUCUUCCGCGGGCGCCCGGUCAUGCAGCGUUCCGUGUGCCUGUUCCUCGAUGCUGCUGCCGGACUGAUGCUCGAAGCGACCCGUAGCGAUUGUGUGUCGCGCCUAUCGUGCGGCCGUGGCCAUCGGAAAGCUCGCUUCCCUUCCCGGGUGCCUCCCGGGACCGGGCGGCGUGCGCCUUCCGGCGGCUGCGUGCCUGAGCGCGCAACGGCGUGUGAGUGGUGUUCCGGUUGUGCCCUCGGGCCGGCCCAGUGGUUGCAAUCCCUCCCACUGGACGGCUCGAUGACCAACUUCUCAAUUGGCGUUCCGUGCGUCCAUCGCACGGAAGGCCGGUUGGUUCCUGUGCCAGUUACCGCGAUUGUGGAACGCGGUGUCCCGCUAUCAUCUCCCUCCAUCGACACUCCCUCCAAGGGGCAGUGGGUGGACAACGCAGUAGUCCCCCUGGUCCACGCUUUGCCUAGACGCCCGACGGGCGCGACUCGGCGAUGGGCUACGGGCGCCUCCUCGAUCCCACGGAUGCGGAACGUCCCAAUUGGCACGUGGGCUGGAAGCCUCUACGUGCCUGAUAACGUUGCACCAAUCGAAUGACGCUCGUGCCUUGCCAUCCUCGCCCCGGUGGC
rnacentral:misc_RNA from 1 species